AUGCUACUGGUCGUUUACAGCUUACCCACCAGCCUGUGCCCCCACCGUGGAAAGUCAACACUAGGACAGAAGGCUUUAUCCACCUGCGUGUGGUCUGAGAUGGAAAACGCAGUUCACCUCACGGAGUUUGGAACUGCUUGCUACAGGGUCUACCACAGGAGAUAACAUGAAGACCUAGUCAGCCAGAGAAGACACUUCAAAGUUGGGGAGGGGAAGAGAGAGAAGACUGCUAAAAGGAGGUUCAAAAACAAGAAGAUCAACAUUGUCUAAUUCAAAUCUUCCUUGGACCUGCCAACUGCACAUAUCUCCUCAAGCCUAAAGAAGAGUCAGACAAUACAUUUCUCUGCCUUUCAUUACAACUACAAUAAUGGUUUCCAUUUACAAGUGAGAUUGCUAACUACUCAAGAGUAAGGAUGGUUUCUUAUAGAAAGUCUAAGGAUCUGUACUGACUAAUAGUUGUCAGUUUGGCUCCAUUUUGAUACCGUGUUGUGCUUUUUUACACAUUUUAUCUUCCAACCUUUGUCCUAUGACAAAAGUACCUUAACGAGUUCCAGUUUAUUAAUGAAAACCAGGCUAAGGGAAGCUAAGUGAAUAGAUGGUCAACUGAGCUAGUAAUGGCAAAGUGGGCAUUCACACCCAGGUAGGCUGACCCAGCUCCCGCUCAUAACCAUGACACCAUCCUGCAUUUAUAAAUGUCUGUUGUUGGUGAUGGUUAUGCAGUUGAUGAUUGCUUUGUUCUUUCAAAAACCAAUAUACACAAUGGUUUUCAUUCUGUUCCUUGAAAAGAAAUGGCUGUGUAAAGAAUUUAAAAAGUCCAAAUAAAUCAACCCUGCACAAACUACUACCA
rnacentral:lncRNA from 1 species